rnacentral:rRNA from 1 species
CAAUAGCGUAUAUUAAAGUUGUUGCAGUUAAAAAGCUCGUAGUUGGAUUUCUGGUCGGAAGCUCCUGUCCUCUGAUGAGCGUACAAGUGCGUCCUACCAUCCUUCUGUUAACCUUUAAGGCUUUCGCGGCUUUCUAGGGGCUCAGAUAUUUUACCUUGAGAAGAUUAGAGUGUUUCAGGCAGGCUAGCGCCGGAAUACAUUAGCAUGGAAUAAUGGAAUAGGACUUUUGCCUCUUCUGUUGGUCAUGAGGCUCGAGUAAUGAUUAAUAGGGAUAGUUGGGGGCAUUAGUACUUAACUGUCAGAGGUGAAAUUCUCGGAUUUGUUAAAGACUAACUUAUGCGAAAGCAUUUGCCAAGGAUGUUUUCAUUAA